rnacentral:rRNA from 1 species
AGCGAACGUUAGCGGCGGGCCUAACACAUGCAAGUCGAGCGAGAAAGGGACUUCGGUCCUGAGUAAAGCGGCGGACGGGUGAGGAACACGUAGGUAACCUGCCCCUCGAUGGAGGACAACGGUCCGAAAGGACCGCUAAUACUGCAUACGUUCCCCGGGAUUCCGAUCUCGGGGAGGAAAGCCUCGCAAGGGGCGUCGAGGGAGGGGCCUGCGUCGCAUCAGCUAGUUGGUGGGGUAAUGGCCUACCAAGGCGAAGACGCGUAGCUGGUCUGAGAGGAUGAUCAGCCACACUGGGACUGAGACACGGCCCAGACUCCUACGGGAGGCAGCAGUGGGGAAUAUUGGACAAUGGGCGCAAGCCUGAUCCAGCCACGCCGCGUGAGUGAUGAAGGCCUUCGGGUCGUAAAGCUCUGUGGGGAGGGACGAACGUCCGGGUGAAGAAUCCGGGGUGACGGUACCUCCUUAGCAAGCACCGGCUAACUUCGUG